GACGAACGCUGGCGGCGUGCCUAAUACAUGCAAGUCGAACGCAGUGGGGACGGGUGCGUAACACGUGGGUAACCUCCCAUCAGAGGAGAUAACACUUGGAAACAGGUGCUAAACCUAUACUGAUGGAUGGACCCGCGGUGCAUUAGCUAGUUGGUGAGGUAACGGCUCACCACGGCCACGAUGCAUAGCCGCACUGAGAGGGUGAUCGGCCACGCUGGGACUGAGACAUGGUCCAGACUCCUACGGGAGGCAGCAGUAGGGAAUAUUCGGCAAUGGACGAAAGUCUGACCGAGCAACGCCGCGUGAGUGAAGAAGGUUGUCGGAUCGUAAAAUUCUGUGGUUAGAGAAGCGGUAUCUAACCAGAAAGCAACGGCUAACUACGUGCCAGCAGCCGCGGUAAGUC
rnacentral:rRNA from 1 species